rnacentral:rRNA from 1 species
UGGGGAAUAUUGCACAAUGGGCGCAAGCCUGAUGCAGCAACGCCGCGUGAGGGAUGACGGCCUUCGGGUUGUAAACCUCUUUUAGCAGGGAAGAAGCGAAAGUGACGGUACCUGCAGAAAAAGCACCGGCUAACUACGUGCCAGCAGCCGCGGUAAUACGUAGGGUGCAAGCGUUGUCCGGAAUUAUUGGGCGUAAAGAGCUCGUAGGCGGUCUGUCGCGUCUGCUGUGAAAUCCCGAGGCUCAACCUCGGGCCUGCAGUGGGUACGGGCAGACUAGAGUGCGGUAGGGGAGAAUGGAACUCCUGGUGUAGCGGUGGAAUGCGCAGAUAUCAGGAAGAACACCGAUGGCGAAGGCAGUUCUCUGGGCCGUAACUGACGCUGAGGAGCGAAAGCGUGGGGAGCGAACAGGAUUAGAUACCCUGGUAGUCCACGCCGUAAACGUUGGGCGCUAGAUGUGGGGACCAUUCCACGGUUUCCGUGUCGCAGCUAACGCAUUAAGCGCCCCGCCU